GCGGGAAUAGCUCAGUGGUAGAGCAUCUGCUUCCCAAGCAGAGGGUCGCGGGUUCGAGUCCCGUUUCCCGCU
rnacentral:tRNA from 1 species